rnacentral:lncRNA from 1 species
CCGCUUCUCCUCCAGCCGCCGGCGGGGCCUCCCUUCCUACCCAAGCCUCCGCCGCCGUUCCCAUCUCCUCGUCCUCCGUGCCACCGCCGGCGCCUCUUCCGCUGAAUCCAUCUCCACCUCCUCACCUAUUCGCUAACGCCGCCUCCCAUCCUCUCUUCUCUCCGGGCUCCGGCUAGAUCCAAGUCGGCGUCGAGAUCCAGGGCUCGAAAACCCCUCACCUAUCCAAGGAUUUCAGGUAGUGAUCUCUGCGAAUUCCUUGAAACUGCAUGCUUUUUUAAAAAAAACUCCUGUGGACACUUUAACAAUCCAAAAUGAUAAAGUAGUUAAUUGGCUUAUUUCCUCACUUUUCUAUCUACCAAUUGGUUCGUUAAUUCAUAUAGAUAUAUCUUAAUUGCUUAGUAAAGAUUAUCUCUUGGAUUGUUGUGUACUCGUCGAUUUUUGAUAUUAUCGAGCCGUCCCGAAAUAAUGGCUAUAGUUUCCAUCUUCCAUUGGGUAGUGUUCAUUGUUGUCUCCGUUUCAGCGUUAUAAAUCAAACAUUGUGCAAAUUGUAGAUAGAAAAAAUUGUGAAGAUUGAGGAAAACUAUCCUACGGCUCAAUGAGCAGAGCCGGUAUGUCAGACAACCAGUGAAGUCCAUGUCUUAUGCCCAAUGCUUGCACUCAAACCUCAUUCCUUUCCUAGGUUAAAGUAUGCUGUUUUAUUUUGGCCUUGGUGCACAUUUAAGCACCAGAUCUUUUACUCCCAUUUUCAUGUCCGCAAAUUCAUGAACCAGCAGAUUAAUCAUACAUGUACACCAAUUAAAUAUUGUAACAGAAGAGAUAUAUAUUCAUAUUCAACAUAUAUGCAUAGAGGUGAAGAGUAAUCGGUUACUGGGCAUGUUGCUGGUGCUAUUCUUGUUAUUCUUAACGCCCGAUGUAGAUAAGGAUGCCGAGAAUAAUUCAUUCUUCUGUGUACAGCGACGAGGGCUAUGGUUCACUGCUGGGCAUUGCUGCCUGUCUUUGCUGUCGAUUUGACAUAGUCCUUCCUAAUCUUCUUCAGCAUCACGACCACAUCCUUCAUUUCCAUCCUUUGCUCUGGGGAGUCAGCCGAGCAGAGCAAGCCCAGCUCGAAGACUGGCUUAAGGAAUCCAUCAAUGCUACUGGUAGAACAAGAGGUGUCCUGUAGAAGCUGGCCAUCGACAACAUGGACAAGAUCUAUAGGAAAUGCCCAGUGAACCCACUGCCUGAUGCUCAGAUCUCCCACAAACAUGGCAUCUGUGGGUCUCUUCCUAGUGAACACUUCAAGUAGCAUGAUCCCAUAGCUGAACACAUCGCUCUUCCGUGACGCUUUUCCAAGAACCCCAUACUCUGCACAAGAAAAUUAGAUUAAUGACAACUGAUUGCACCACUUAAUUGUUGUGAAAAGAUCAACUGGGUUGAGUAAGAGUACAAAAGCUACUAAGUACCUGGUGCCAUGUAACCAAUUGUUCCUGGCAUGCUUGCAGAGAUCGUAGAGUUAUCAUCGCCUAGUAACAACCUCGCAAUGCCAAAGUCUGCCACAUGUGCCGUCAUUUCAUCAUCGAAUAGCACAUUACUAGGCUUCAAAUCACAGUGUACGACCACCUCAUAGUGCUCAUGGUGCAGGUAUUCCAUUGCCAUUGACACAUCUAGCAUAAUAUCCAACCUCUCGAGAAAGCCUAACUGCAUCCUUUCUUCCGAGUGUAGGAGUGCUUCUAAGCUACCCUGAGGCAUGUACUGAAGAACCAAUGCUCUGAACUCCAGGUUGGAGCAUGUGUUCAAUAUCUUUAUCAAGUUGCGAUGUCGAGCCAUUCGAAGCACACGACACUCAGUAUCAAAGCUUCUCAUGGCAUGUUCCAGAUGGUUGUGUAUAACUUUUAUGGCAACCACCAAACCGCUACUCAACUGGCCCUUAAAAACUUUUCCGAAGCUUCCAGAUCCCAACAUAUUGUCUUCACUGAAAUUAUCGGUAGCGCGAACAAGCUCAUGGUAGGAGAGUAAUUGGUGGCUGAUCAUGUCAAGCAUACCAGAAGAAAUAUUUUGAUGCUUAACUUUCUUUCUAAUUAUUCCAUAUAGGCAACAAGUUACCGCUGCAACUACUAUGAUUAUACCCGGGAGUAAAAUAUACUUUAGUAUGUGUCGA